GACGAACGCUGGCGGCGUGCCUAAUACAUGCAAGUCGAACGCUGACGGAGGAGCUUGCUUCUCUGGAUGAGUUGCGAACGGGUGAGUAACGCGUAGGUAACCUGCCUGGUAGCGGGGGAUAACUAUUGGAAACGAUAGCUAAUACCGCAUAAGAGUAGAUGUUGCAUGACAUUUGCUUAAAAGGUGCAAUUGCAUCACUACCAGAUGGCCCUGCGUUGUAUUAGCUUGUUGGUGGGGUAACGGCUCACCAAGGCGACGAUACAUAGCCGACCUGAGAGGGUGGUCGGCCACACUGGGACUGAGACACGGCCCAGACUCCUACGGGAGGCAGCAGUAGGGAAUCUUCGGCAAAGGACGGAAGGCUGACCGAGCAACGCCGCGGGAGGGAAGAAGGGUUUCGGAUCGUAAAGCUCGGUUGUAAGGGAAGAACGAGUGUGAGAGUGGAAAGUUCACACUGUGACGGUAUCUAACCAGAAAGGGACGGCUAACUACGUG
rnacentral:rRNA from 1 species